GCCGGGCGUGGUGGCGCGCGCCUGUAGUCCCAGCUACUUGGGAGGCUGAGGCAGAAGAAUCGCUUGAACCCCGGAGGGUGCAGUGAGCCAAGAUCGUGCCACUGCACUCCACCCUGGGCGACAGAGUGAGACUCUGUCUCAA
rnacentral:SRP_RNA from 1 species